GUUGUAGCUCAGUGGUAGAGCGCUCUCCUGGCAUGUGUGAGGCACUGGGUUAGAUUCUCAGCCCAACA
rnacentral:tRNA from 1 species